rnacentral:lncRNA from 10 species
GUCCUAUCUGGUGUUGGGAGAGAAGAUGGCAGGUAAACCUGCUCAGGUUAGUGGGGUUCUGAAACCGAGAAGGGCUUCACCAGGAGAAUGGCAUUUCAACUAAGCCCUGAAAGAGAAAGCUUGGUGAGAAGGGGUGGGUGUUUGUGGAAGACAAGACAUUCCAGGCAGCAGGAACAGCAAGGCGAAGGCCAGAAGCAGGAGCGCCCCUUUGGUGGAGUUGAGGAAUUACAAGGUUUGUAUGUGGAACACAGAGUGGGGUGGAGGUUGGGCUUGCAAAGGAUUUUAGGCCCCUCCUAGGAGCAGAUGGAAUCCAUCAAAGAGUUUGGGCAAGGGAUUUUUAUUUUUAAUUGGUAAGCCCCUUGAUUUGGUUAAGUAGAAAGGAAUGGAAAAUAAAGUUUAUUGAGGGGUUUCUAUGUGUCAGCUGCUUUACCUACCAUUCCCUUCUUGGGUAGAAGCCCUGUGAGGUCAGAAUUACUAGGAGAUGAGUUCCUUGAGGACAAGGAUGAGGCAUUCUCAAAUCUCUGAUACUAAGUAGGACACUUGGCUCAGAUGAUGUGCUCAAUAAUGAUCCACAUGGUUGAUUUUACAGAUGAGGCUCAGGGAGGUGAAGCCAUUUACCCCAAGUGAGCAGGUGAGGAGGCCGUGCAGCCUAGGAGCUGUGCCAACCCUAAGCCCAUACCCCUUUCUAGACCGUGUAUUGCCCUAUGCGGAUACCUCUCAUACAGACCCUCCACUGGGCCGUUCAAGUCCACGUACUUAUGGGUUCACCAGCUAGUUAGUGCCCCCAGCAGGGAUACAGAGAUGGUUUAGUCACAGUCCCUGCUUGCAAGGAGCUCACAGUCUAGUGAGGACAUCACACAAAGAAAUGGACAGUGACGACCACACGAGAGACUCCUCCAGUGAUGGGUGCACGAUAAUCUGGGGCAGAUCUGGGGUGGGGUUAGGUACAGGCUGCUCAGAGGAAGUGAUUCUCAAACUGAGUCUUAAUGAGGCCAGGAGGCUGAGGGCUGGAAUUUUGGGUUGGCAUAUUUAUAGACCCUGAGGCUGCAAUGGGGCAAGUUUGGGAAAUCCCAACUCUGUCAUGAUGACUAGAACAAAGAGUAAGAGGUGAGAGGGGCCAGAAGUAAGGCUUAAAACACUAAGAGCCACAAAAAAAAAAAAAAAAAAAAAAAAAAAGCAAACAAACAAAAAAAACACUAAGAGCCUCAGCCCAGGAAUGGUGGCUCAUGCCUGUAAUCCCAGCACUUUGGGAGGCCAAGGCAGGUGGAUCACCUGAGGUCAGGAGUUCGAGACCAGCCUGGCCAACAUGGUGAAACCCCAUCUCUCCUAAAAAUAGAAAAAAAAUUAGCCAGGCAUGGUGGCACACAUCUGUAAUUCCAGCUACUCGGGAGGCUGAGACAGGAGAAUCGCUUGAACCUGGGAGGUGGAAGUUGCAGUGAGCCGAGAUUGUGCCACUGCACUCCAGCCUGGGCAAGAGACUCUAUCUCAAAAA